AGUGAACGCUGGCGGUGUGCCUAACACAUGCAAGUCGAACGGCAGCACAGUAAGAGCUUGCCCUUACGGGUGGCGAGUGGCGGAUGGGUGAGGAAUACAUCGGAAUCUACUUUUUCGUGGAGGACAAUGUAGGGAAACUUACGCUAAUACCGCAUACGACCUACGGGUGAAAGCAGGGGAUCUUCAGACCUUUCGCGAUUGAAUGAGUCGAUGUCGGAUUAGUUAGUUGGUGGGGUAAAGGCCCACCAAGGCGACGAUCCGUAGCUGGCCUGCGAGGAUGAUCGGCACAAUUGGAACGGGACCACGCCCCAGACUCCUCGGGGAGGCGCCGGAGGGGAAUAUUGGACAUGGACGGCAAGCUGGCCCAAGCCAUACCGCGGGGGGGAAGAAGGCCUCCGGGUGGAAAAGCCCGUUUGUAGGGAAGGACAAGCAGCAGGGUAAAACGCCGAUGUAGUGACGGUACCCACAGAAUAAGCACCGGCUAACUUCGUG
rnacentral:rRNA from 1 species